GUCGGCGUAGCUCAGUUGGUUAGAGCGUGGGACUCAUAAACCCAAGGUCGGUGGUUCGAUUCCACCCGUCGGCA
rnacentral:tRNA from 1 species